rnacentral:rRNA from 1 species
GACGAACGCUGGCGGCGUGCUUAACACAUGCAAGUCGAACGGUGAAGCGCUUUCCUUUUUGGUUGGUGUGGAUGAGUGGCGAACGGGUGAGUAACACGUGAGUAACCUGCCCCCUUCUUCUGGAUAACCGCAUGAAAGUGUGGCUAAUACGGGAUAUUCUGCGCCUGCUGCAUGGUGGGUGUGGGAAAGAUUGUGCCUUUGGGUGUUUUCGGUGGGGGAUGGGCUCGCGGCCUAUCAGCUUGUUGGUGGGGUGAUGGCCUACCAAGGCGGUGACGGGUAGCCGGCCGGGGGGGGGGGAAGGUAACACUGGGACUGAGACACGGCCCAGACUCCUACGGGGGGCAGGAGUGGGGAAGAUUGCACAAGGGGCGAAAGCCUGAUGCAGCGACGCCGCGGGAGGGAUGGAGGCCUUCGGGUUGUGAACCUCUUUCGCAAGGGAAGCAGGCCUGGUCCUUGUGGGUGGGUUGACGGUAGCUGGAAAAAAAGCGGCGGCUAACUACGU